rnacentral:rRNA from 1 species
AACUGCUCUGGUGGUUAGUGGCGAACGGGUGAGUAACACGUGAGUAACCUGCCCUUGACUCUGGGAUAAGCGUUGGAAACGACGUCUAAUACCGGAUACGAGCUUCAGCCGCAUGGCUAGGAGUUGGAAAGAAUUUCGGUCAAGGAUGGACUCGCGGCCUAUCAGCUAGUUGGUGAGGUAAUGGCUCACCAAGGCGACGACGGGUAGCCGGCCUGAGAGGGUGACCGGCCACACUGGGACUGAGACACGGCCCAGACUCCUACGGGAGGCAGCAGUGGGGAAUAUUGCACAAUGGGCGCAAGCCUGAUGCAGCAACGCCGCGUGAGGGACGACGGCCUUCGGGUUGUAAACCUCUUUUAGCAGGGAAGAAGCGAAAGUGACGGUACCUGCAGAAAAAGCACCGGCUAACUACGUGCCAGCAGCCGCGGUAAUACGUAGGGUGCAAGCGUUGUCCGGAAUUAUUGGGCGUAAAGAGCUCGUAGGCGGUUUGUCGCGUCUGCUGUGAAAACGCGAGGCUCAACCUCGCGCCUGCAGUGGGUACGGGCAAACUAGAGUGCGGUAGGGGAGAUUGGAAUUCCUGGUGUAGCGGUGGAAUGCGCAGAUAUCAGGAGGAACACCGAUGGCGAAGGCAGAUCUCUGGGCCGUAACUGACGCUGAGGAGCGAAAGCGUGGGGAGCGAACAGGAUUAGAUACCCUGGUAGUCCACGCCGUAAACGUUGGGAACUAGAUGUAGGGACCAUUCCACGGUUUCUGUGUCGCAGCUAACGCAUUAAGUUCCCCGCCUGGGGAGUACGGUCGCAGACUAAAACUCAAAGGAAUUGACGGGGCCCGCCACAAGCGGCGGAGCAUGCC